rnacentral:misc_RNA from 1 species
UGCCAGCAGAGGCUUUAGACUUGAGUUAUGUUCCCACUGCAGAAGAUUGAUGACCGAGUCAUUGAUUUGGUCAGUAAAAUGAAAUUUGUACAAAUGGCUUCCUUUCAGCCUGAGCUAUAGAGUUGACCAUUGUAUUCCAUUUGAUUUUGUUGUGAACAAGUGUAUGUGCACAUGAAAAACAGGAAAUUAAUGCAUGCGCUUCUAACGCAGUAAAGAGUCCAAGGGCGACUAGCAAUCCACCACCUAUUUAUCUUCUGGUGCAAUUGGUCCUCAAAAUCAACUUAAAGAUGCUAUACAUAAAGUCUGGUUUUCAAGAGCAGCCUCAUCUUUGUAGCAAUACGGCUCAUCGCGUUAUUUCACCUUCAAAAGCGUGAAUGGGUAUUUUUUCCAAUUUAAAUUUUAUUACUUGCAACUUAGUACGAACUAAACUUAACAAUCAAUGCGUAUUUGUUGAGAACAGUUGUAAGACCAUCGGUGUUCAAAUCUCAACAAAAGUUCCGUAGUUUUCUUUAAUAAACAAAGUCUGGUUUUCAAGAGCAGUCUCAUCUUUGUAGCAAUAUGGCUCAUCC